rnacentral:rRNA from 1 species
GAUGAACGCUGGCGGCGUGCCUAAUACAUGCAAGUCGAGCGAACAGACGAGGAGCUUGCUCCUCUGACGUUAGCGGCGGACGGGUGAGUAACACGUGGAUAACCUACCUAUAAGACUGGGAUAACUUCGGGAAACCGGAGCUAAUACCGGAUAACAUGUUGAACCGCAUGGUUCAACAGUGAAAGACGGUCUUGCUGUCACUUAUAGAUGGAUCCGCGCCGCAUUAGCUAGUUGGUAAGGUAACGGCUUACCAAGGCAACGAUGCGUAGCCGACCUGAGAGGGUGAUCGGCCACACUGGAACUGAGACACGGUCCAGACUCCUACGGGAGGCAGCAGUAGGGAAUCUUGCGCAAUGGGCGAAAGCCUGACGGAGCAACGCCGCGUGAGUGAAGAAGGUCUUCGGAUCGUAAAGCUCUGUUAUUGGGGAAGAACAAAUGUGUAAGUAACUAUGCACGUCUUGACGGUACCUAAUCAGAAAGCCACGGCUAACUACGUG